UGACGAGCGGCGGACGGGUGAGUAAUACUUAGGAAUCUACCUAGUAGUGGGGGAUAGCACGGGGAAACUCGUAUUAAUACCGCAUACGACCUACGGGAGAAAGGGGGCAGUUUACUGCUCUCGCUAUUAGAUGAGCCUAAGUCGGAUUAGCUAGAUGGUGGGGUAAAGGCCUACCAUGGCGACGAUCUGUAGCUGGUCUGAGAGGAUGAUCAGCCACACCGGGACUGAGACACGGCCCGGACUCCUACGGGAGGCAGCAGUGGGGAAUAUUGGACAAUGGGGGAAACCCUGAUCCAGCCAUGCCGCGUGUGUGAAGAAGGCCUUUUGGUUGUAAAGCACUUUAAGCAGUGAAGAAGACUCCUCGGUUAAUACCCGUGGACGAUGACAUUAGCUGCAGAAUAAGCACCGGCUAACUCUGUGCCAGCAGCCGCGGUAAUACAGAGGGUGCAAGCGUUAAUCGGAAUUACUGGGCGUAAAGGGAGCGUAGGUGGCUCGAUAAGUCAGAUGUGAAAUCCCCGGGCUCAACCUGGGAACUGCAUCUGAUACUGUUGAGCUAGAGUAUGUGAGAGGAAGGUAGAAUUCCAGGUGUAGCGGUGAAAUGCGUAGAGAUCUGGAGGAAUACCGAUGGCGAAGGCAGCCUUCUGGCAUAAUACUGACACUGAGGCUCGAAAGCGUGGGUAGCAAACAGGAUUAGAUACCCUGGUAGUCCACGCCGUAAACGAUGUCUACUAGUCGUUGGGUCCCUUGAGGACUUAGUGACGCAGCUAACGCAAUAAGUAGACCGCCUGGGGAGUACGGCCGCAAGGUUAAAACUCAAAUGAAUUGACGGGGGCCCGCACAAGCGGUGGAGCAUGUGGUUUAAUUCGAUGCAACGCGAAGAACCUUACCUGGUCUUGACAUAUCUAGAAUCCUGCAGAGAUGCGGGAGUGCCUUCGGGAAUUAGAAUACAGGUGCUGCAUGGCUGUCGUCAGCUCGUGUCGUGAGAUGUUGGGUUAAGUCCCGCAACGAGCGCAACCCUUGUCCUUAGUUACCAGCGGGUUAAGCCGGGAACUCUAAGGAUACUGCCAGUGACAAACUGGAGGAAGGCGGGGACGACGUCAAGUCAUCAUGGCCCUUACGACCAGGGCUACACACGUGCUACAAUGGUAGGUACAGAGGGCAGCUACACAGCGAUGUGAUGCGAAUCUCAAAAAGCCUAUCGUAGUCCAGAUUGGAGUCUGCAACUCGACUCCAUGAAGUAGGAAUCGCUAGUAAUCGCGGAUCAGAAUGCCGCGGUGAAUACGUUCCCGGGCCUUGUACACACCGCCCGUCACACCAUGGGAGUUGAUUGCACCA
rnacentral:rRNA from 1 species